GUUUUUUAUUCAAAGGUUUUCAAAAGAAAUAAAACAGAAAAAAGCUAACAAUCUGAUCAAAUGUACAGUUCAAAAAUGUCUUUUGGCGUUUAACAACAAGUCCUAGGAAAGAAAACUACAGAGUUAUCUUGAACCGGACAAAUAAGUUACCACUGGCAAGUUUGUGGCACUAGUAAAACAAAAAUAAAAAAUUAACUCUCUUGAUCAUAUAGAUAUCUCUAUGAAAAUCUUUUUUUUUUCAAUCUGUACAAAAGGUCUUUCUUCAUAAAUUAAUUUUUUUAUAAUUUAAUGGCUGUCUACUAUGUGAUGUUUAACUGAUUUUUUUUUUCUUUUUUUAUGUACAGAGGUUAUGUUUCCCAAAUCUUACCCAGACAAGUAUGGCACUUAGUUCAGACAUUUCUAGCAGCAGAUUUUCCCUCCUCUCUAACUGAGCUAUCAAAUUUCUGUCUUAACUAAUGCAAAAAUAUCAAGUAGUGAGAGACCCAGGUUUAUAACGUACUAGGUACAAAGAGGGCGCUGCGUUCAGUCUGGACUUUCACAAAGCAGUAAUAUUCCAGGGAGCAUAGAACCAAUAAUACCACAACUUUAAAAAAAGGAAACAAAAACAAAAACAAAAACACAUUUCUCUUAUGACUAUGUAAUUUUCACUAGAAUCUACACUUCUCAGAGCAGCAAGGACUUUUGAAACUAUGAAAUGUCACUGACAUCUAUAAUCAAAUACAAGCAUAAAUUUUAAGAACUAAAAAAUACUCGAAAGAAAUAACUGCUUAGGCCUAGCUCCUGAGCUAGGAAGGAUUUGGUCUGUGGAAACAGGGAGGGCCAGCAACCUGUCCCAGCACAAAAGAAAAUAGACUCUGAGGUAGAUAACUGAUCACACACAGUUGACCAGACAAGUACACAGUUUUGGAAGACAACUUAAUUUACCAUUGCUUUUCAAACAUAUGCAAUUGUCUUAAUAAAAGAGCUUUAAUAACAGUGAAUUAUCUUCUAGGUACUAAAGUAGAAAUAACUGUGUAUUUAUGAAUCAGGAAUUUCAUAGUUUCAAAAUUGGGUUUUCUUUACACUGAACACUUGUAGUGAUGAUGUAAAGUGUGGCACUGCUUGGAUCCAAAUCCUCCUUCAUGCUUUUUUUUGUGUGUGUGUCCAUACAUCAAUUAAAAUUAGAAAACCUAAAUGCAAAGGUACAAAAAAGGCACAUUCUCCUAACCGCAAACUGGUCCGGCAAAAAUAAAGAGCACAGAAGAUGUGAUGCUGAGACUAGUUGGAGCUACUGGUUACUGGCUCUUCGGUCUUUGGUGAAGUUACCUUUAAAAGUGCCAAGUAAUUUUUAUUUCUCAAAUUUACAUAAUAGAGAGAGCUAGUAGCCAAUCAUUUUGCUUCUAUUCAUAUCUCAGCUUUAUGUUUGAAGAUAAAUCCUUACUUUUAGCUUUUGCCAUUUAGUUGCAAUAGCAACAUUUUUUUUUCUCGGUUUGCCAGAUCUCAGGCGUCAUUCUCAUUCUAAAGCACUAUCAUUAGUAUAAAGGAAGGACAAAACAU
ensembl:lncRNA